rnacentral:rRNA from 1 species
UACGGAGGGUGCGAGCGUUGUCCGGAAUCACUGGGCGUAAAGGGCGCGUAGGUGGCCUGAUGAGUCAACGGUGAAAGCUCGUCGCUUAACGACGAGUCGGCCGUCGAUACUGUCGGGCUGGAGCACUGUAGAGGCAGAUGGAAUUCCGGGGUGUAGCGGUGGAAUGCGUAGAGAUCCGGAAGAACACCGGUGGCGAAGGCGGUCUGCUGGGCAGUUGCUGACACUGAGGCGCGACAGCGUGGGGGAGCAAACAGG